GGGGAUUACGAUCAAAAAAGUUCAUCUUGUUCUGAUCCUGUGCACCUUAUGUAGUCCCAAAGCCUUCACGGGCGGCGGUUGACUACGUCUACCUCACACCUUAAAGUAUGUUAACGAAUGUAAUCAUGGUCUUGACAGACCCUAAAAAGUUAAUACAACUUUCGACAACGGAUCUCUUGGCUCUCGCAUCGAUGAAGAACGCAGCGAAAUGCGAUAAGUAAUGUGAAUUGCAGAAUUCAGUGAAUCAUCGAAUCUUUGAACGCACCUUGCGCCCUUUGGUAUUCCGAGGGGCAUGCCUGUUUGAGUGUCAUUAAAUACCAUCAACCCUCUUUUGACUUCGGUCUCGAGAGUGGCUUGGAAGUGGAGGUCUGCUGGAGCCUAACGGAGCCAGCUCCUCUUAAAUGUAUUAGCGGAUUUCCCUUGCGGGAUCGCGUCUCCGAUGUGAUAAUUUCUACGUCGUUGACCAUCUCGGGGCUGACCUAGUCAGUUUCAAUAGGAGUCUGCUUCUAACCGUCUCUUGACUGAGACUAGCGACUUGUGCGCUAACUUUUGACUUGACCUCAAAUCAGGUAGGACUACCCGCUGAACUUAAGCAUAUCAAUAGCGGAGGAGGAUCAUUAACGAAUCAAACAAGUUCAUCUUGUUCUGAUCUGUGCACUUAUGUAGUCCAAAGCUUCCGGGGCGGCGGUUGACUAGUCUACUCACACUUAAAGUAUGUUUAACGAAAUGUAAUCAUGGGUCUUGACAGACCUAAAAAGUUAUACACUUUCCACGAUCUCUGCUCGCAUGUAAGAACAGCAAAUGCAUAGAUAUGUGAAUUGCGAAUCAUGAAAUCAUCAUCUUGAACCUUCUCUGCCUCUUCAGGGGAUGACG
rnacentral:rRNA from 1 species